CCCGAAUUUAAUUCUAGUUUAUUAAAUAGUUAUUGAAUUAUAAUAUAUGUAAAUUUUUAUUAGUAUUUUUAGUCUUAAAGAUUUUUAUUUAUUUUCAGUAUUAAAUAUUUUUGUUUAAUUUAAGUUAAAAAAGUUAUUUUUUAUAGAUGAGAUUAAUAAUGUGCCAGCAUUCGCGGUUAUACAUUUUUAUCAAAUUAUUUAUUUUUGGUUAAAGUUUUAUAAUUUUUUUUAUUUAAAUUUAUUAAUUUAGGUGAAAUUUAUUUUUAAUUUUUGUUUUUUUAUGUCUUUAAAAUCUGUUUUUAAACUAGGAUUAGAUACCCUAUUAUUUCAGUUUAAUUUAAUUAACCUUGGGAUUGAUAAAUUUAAAAUAAAAGGAUUUGGCGGUUUUUUAAUCUUUUUAGAGGAACCUGUUUAUUAAAUGAUAAUCCACGAUUUUUUAUACCAUUUUUUUUUUCUUGUAUAUCUCUGUCGUUGAAUGUAGUUUAAGCUUAAUUUUCUUUUUUUUUUUAUAAUUUAUGUUAGGUCAAGGUGCAGUUAUAAAUUGGUUUAAAUGGGUUACUUUAAUAAAUUUUUGUUGAUUAAUAAUUUCUUAUUGUUUUGAAUUUGAAUUUAAUAGUAAUUUUUUUUCUUUAAUUUUUUGAAUUGAGCUCUGGAUUAUGUACAUAUCGCCCGUCACUCUCAUUAAUUGAGAUAAGUCGUAACAAAGUAGAUGUAUCGGAAGAUGUAUCUAGAAUCAG
rnacentral:ncRNA from 1 species